GGAAGAAAAUCUUAGGAAGGACCAAAACGGAGGGAGAGAGUCGGUCACUCAGUGCAGCAUUUGAGACAUUUUUCCAGUUAUCAUGGAACUGUAUGAAGAGGAGCUUCAACCCUCUCACCAUCCCUCUCUUCUCCUGGGAGAGGGGCCUCCACGUUGGCCCCGACUCUCUAUACUGCAGAGGGACAAAGUGGCCACGCUGUUUUGGUUUUGUCAGUGUCUGUACUGUUCAGGGGUACCGUACUGGGACUGAUGUGAAACAAUAAAGAAUGUGUGACAGCAAGUCCCCUCUCUGCCUCCUGUUUACGGUGCCACUCAGCGCCUCUCUCAGACAAACCGCUUGGUACAGUCUACCCUGGAUCACUUCCAGAACCCUCAGGUUCCGAGUGGCCCAGUCUCUGAAGAGCAGCCAACAAACGGGCCUUUCAGUGUGGACAGCAGAUGGGGUGGGCCAUCCAGCCACUCGGAGGAACUUCUUGUGUCACCAGACACAGAGAAUGAAUCCGCUUUUAUCUGCCAGCCCAGUGGACUACAAUGAGCCUUCCUUUGCACUUAACCAUGAGAUUGCAAACACACACAAAACAGAGAUUUUACAUAUUGCCAUUCCCUAACUGCAUCUUUAAAAACCCAUGGAGCACUUUUGGAAAAUCUGAGUUUGACUACACCAGACAAAAACACACAGCAUGAUUGUUCAAUCAUGCCAAUUAUUAUCUGGAUGGAACACCCACAAUCUUGAUAAAUAAGCUAAAAAUGUAUUCCUGAAGAAUGAUCAAAAUGUAACAUUAUUUAAGCAUUAUGAUCAAAGACAGUGACUGUGCCGGGCUGUACGGUACAUGUUUUUGAAGCCAGAUUUUAAUCAAAAUUUCAUGCUGAAAUUUCUUAAUUCCUUUCGUUUCUCGCAUAGGGGAGCAUAUGGACCUUGCUACGGUUUAAUAUUUACAGAAAAGUAUUUUCUCAGCCGUUUAUGCCUAAGUGUUGCUGAAAGAUCUAGACAAGCUUUCCAAUGUUUCUUUCAGCAGUAGCUAGUAUUCUCUCGCGGAUAAUCAUCUGACACCACUGUGCUGCUCGAUCACACUACAGAGUUCCGAUUGCUCCAUCCUAAGUGUGCGUGUUUGUUCUUUUGACAGCUUGGUUACAGAGAACUGCAGGCUCUAUUGAUUGCCUGAUCAUUAGGAGUGACCAGCUGAGUGGCAACAUAGCUGUAGAAACUGUUAACGCCAAUGUAGAACAUCUGACCUCUCUUUAACGAACGGCCAUCGAGUGACCAGACCUGCUCAUUGACCCAUGAUAGUCACUGCUGGCCAGCGGCGUAAAUAUAACUACACUCAGCUGUGGGUCGUUUCAUCGACUGCAACAGAUCUGACGGGCUGGUGUGAAACAGAUGCGGUUACAUUUUAGGGGGUCUGACGUGGAUUUCUAUGAGGAAAUGUAUUUCAUAUCUGAUGGUUUAGCAGAUUUCCGUAUGCAGAACAGUUGGCAGGUGUGUCUGCCAGUAAAAUUCCACUGAUGAUACGAGUCCCGACACCCACUGCUGAAAGUCUGCGAGUGACACUGCUCACCUCCUGUUGCGCUAUUAGAAAGCACGGCUUCCAGUUAAGAGCCUCACACCACCCUAGUGUGUGUGUGUGUGUGUGUGUGUGUAUGUGUGUGUGUGAGAAAGAGAUGACGGGAAAGGAGGGGGAGGCAGGCAAGGGAGGAGGAGGAAAAAGCCACUGAUCAGAGAGUGAAUGAAGCAUUUCUCUGGUCAGGAAGCACCCUACAGAGGACAGUGUGGAAAUGAACUCGAUGAGGCGGUGAGUGUUUGACCCCAUGUCUGUCUUCAUGCUACCCUCACAACUCUCAUGGCUGACUGACACCGACUGCAUCCUGUCUGCAACGAGUCACUUCCCGUCUGUCAUUACCUAACUUGACCAACACAGCUAGUAAAUUCUUCAAGCUGCUUUCUUAAUUCAAACACCAGUAUGUCUGACAAUAAA